GAUGAAGAACGUAGCGAAAUGCGAUAAGUAAUGUGAAUUGCAGAAUUCAGUGAAUCAUCGAAUCUUUGAACGCAUCUUGCGCUCCUUGGUAUUCUGAGGAGCAUGCCUGUUUGAGUGUCAUUAAAUUCUCAACUACACUGACUUUGAAUUGGUGUGGCUUGGAUUUGGGGGGAAAAUUGUUGUGGGCUUUUUGUAUAGUCUGCUCCCCUGAAAUUGAUUAGCGGUACCUUUGUGGAACUGUCUACAGGUGUGAUAAUUAUCUACAUCUUAGACAUCUGCUGGAAUGCUGCUUUCUAAACCUUACUUGUAUUGACAAUCUUGACCUCAAAUCAGAUAGGACUACCCGCUGAACUUAAGCAUAUCAAUAAGCGGAGGA
rnacentral:misc_RNA from 1 species